GAGGAACCGGCCCGGCUCUGCAGGGAGGCGGCGGGGUCGACUGCUCACUGUGAAGCUACCUCCAUGCGACCCUCCCCUUCCCGCCCCUUCCCCUCCCCCCACCAGCCCGAUCUGGGUUCUUGGGCGCUUAUUGUUUUAAUGAUUUUUUUGGUUGUUGUUGUUUUGGUCCUUGAACGUGAUUUUAGCUGCUAGUAACGUGUCCUCGCUCCUCUCGGGCUCCCUCGGAGGAUUUUCAGAGAGGUCUCAGUGCAUCCAUUUUCUCAGAUCCUCUCCUUCUUUCGGGGGAAGGAUCUGGGGCCCUGCAGGCUCCUUGGAGCGCGAAGGCGGCGGCUCCGGCUCUCGGAGGGGUCUGCGCAGUGGCCGAGGGAGCUCCUGGGUGGCGGCGGCGGUGGUUCUCCUGGGCUGGACGCCGUGAGCGGAGCAAGCGGAUUUUCCCAGCAAGAUCUCCAUGUACAGCUACAUCUUUAGGUCCGCUCGGGUUAAUAUAUGUCGUCAGAGGCUCCUCACGCCAAUCCCGGGGCGGCGGGGGCGGCGCCUCGCGCUCGCUGCAAUAAAACUUUUUGAUGUUCUCCUUGCUAAUUGCCGAGGUCCUCUUCCAGGAUUGGCUGCCCCUUCAUAACCAUAAGAUAAUUAAAACGAGGGGGGGCAGGGUUAAAAAAACUUUUUUAUCAGCCAGAGGUUAAUGCAAGUGUUUAACAGAUGCUUCACUAUUAAAAUAUUUUUUUCCCUCAAGUCUUAAAUAUUGAAGAAUCUCAAACCAGGUACACGAGAUCAGCCCCAACGAAGACCUUGGGCGAUUUCACAGCGCAGGGACCUCGAUUCCCCGAAUUUGUGGUGUGGCCGGUAUCGGUGUUCCCCUGGUUUAACUAGCCUGUCUGAAGGCGAAGAUCAUACUUGGGGAAGUACAACCGAAUCCAGUCCUCCCCUGCCCCCUCUACCUUGGGGGUCUUCAUUUUCCCAAUCUACAUCUGCCUGUGACUCCAGAAAGACAAACUUCAGAUUGGCCAAGGUACAUCUCUGACCAGAUCCCUCUGAGAAAAGCGCAGGAAUGUGUGGCUUAUAGUUAGGAGCUCUGGUGAGAGCGCCCCCAGUGCCAUUUUCCUGCCCCUGCCCUUGACAGUCCCUUUUGGCCCAAGUCCAGAGCUCUGGAAGGGUCAAAGUCUAGCUGCUGGUGUCAUCUCAAAGCCCUCGGUUUUCAACCCUAAGAGAGACUGGAAUUUUGGCUCAGGGUUUGAUCAGCUCACAAUUCUUCAAGUUGGAGUUGCAGCCAGGAGAUGGCAGCAGGUGGUGAAAGUGUGACCCCCACAUUGU